rnacentral:rRNA from 1 species
UACGGAGGGUGCAAGCGUUAUCCGGAAUCACUGGGUUUAAAGGGUGCGUAGGCGGCUUAGUCAGUCAUGGGUGAAAGUUCUGGGCUUAACCGAGGAAUUGCCUAUGAUACUGCUGAGCUUGAAUCAGGAUGAGGUAAGCGGAAUGUGGCAUGUAGCGGUGAAAUGCAUAGAUAUGCCAUAGAACACCGAUUGCGAAGGCAGCUUACUGGACCUUGAUUGACGCUGAGGCACGAAAGCGUGGGGAGCGAACAGGAUUAGAUACCCCCGUA